rnacentral:lncRNA from 1 species
GAUCAGAAGAUAUCAUCAUGAUUAAGCAAAAGAAUGACUGUUUAACAUACAAAUAUGUUCAAGGGGAGAAUUUGAGAGCAAUUAAAGGAAAGACUUCCUUGUAAAAAGUGUUUCGCUAGUCGUAAUUAGAAGUAUCCUAAAUAAGUAAGCAGUAAAAUUAUUACAACAGUUUAUACUAGGAGUGAAAAUGGCAAAAUCAUUAAGACCAGUUUCUUCAGCUAUAAUGGACUGCAAAAGCUUCAGCAGCAGAUUUGUAUAGAACAGGUCUGAGGUAGGUUGAUCCAUUAAUCAUCUCCCUUCUACCAUUCCGAAUCAACACAGCAAAAGCAGCAAGCAUAUCUGCCCUGCGAGCCAUAAUAAUUAUGAUCAACUUUACUGAAAAUAGUACCGUACCUUUCUCAACCACCAACACGCAGAUCUGAAUCCUAACAGCACCCUUGUUGUUGUAAUUAUAACUUAUUUAAUUAUGUUUAUCCCCACAGAAGCCUUCUAGAAAGUUUGAUUUUUUUUUUUCUCGAGAAAAUUAUGUUUAACUUUUUAUGAUUUAUAAUUUGGUUAAAACUAUUUUUUUGGGGUGAUUUAAGUGGGUUUUAAGGGAUUAAUGUUCAAUUUAUAUUAUCAUGCUAAUUUUAAUUUUAAUAUUUUUUUAAAUAUUAUUAUUUAAUUUAAUUUAUUUAGUUUAAUGUAUCUUUUUUUAAUUUUUAAAUGAAUGUCAAAUUGUCUUCAUCUUAUUGGUUCUAUACAUGUAAGAAUGAUAUAAUUUUUUAAGAAAGAAGCUUAAUCAGAUGGAUUGCAACAUCAGAUUUCCGUCUGUCUCUUAAACGUGUCUCUUAAACGGAAACUGAUAAAAAUGAUUUUAGUAAUUUUUCUGUUAAAAUUUAAGAAUUUAGUGAUAUAAAAUAAAUNNNNNNNNNNNNNNUAUGAUAUAUAAGACAAAUUUGAGGGGCCAUUUGUGCAAUUUACCCCACUUGGUAGCAAUCCUAAGAACAGUGUCGUGGUGCAAAUUCUGCAACAGUGAGUUCCACCGUUGGGACAUUGAAUGAAUGGCCUCAGUGUUAGGAAUAUAACCUAGAGUGGAAGCAAAUCAAGUUUGCUUAGCCAGGGGAAAACAAAAAAUCAACUUCACGUAGGAAUUCACCCUUGAGUAAAGCAUUUAUUUUCUAAGAAAGUACGUGAAAAAGAAUUAGAUUAUGCUUCUUUUUCUUUAUUUGAUUUGUUUAUAAUAUGUGUCCUCUCUAUCCAAAAAAAAAAUUAUUAAUACUUAAUAAAAACUCGAAAUGUUAAAAUAACUCUAAUUAGUUAAAAAAAUCUAAAAUGAGAAGUAGAAAUUCUCAAAAUAUGUUUUAAAUACGAUAUAAAUAGAAUCUUUCAUUUUUUUUUAUAUUUUAUUAAUAUAUAGAAACCUGAGCAUAUUUAUUUUAUAAAUAGAAAUUUCACCCCUGAAGUUAUGAUUUGUUCAUACACAGCAUGCAAUAUAUAAUAAGUUUUGGAUUUACCUUAGCUAUGUGCUAUAUAUAAAAAAGAGAAAAACCAGUGCCUCAGUUUAAAUAUGGUAAAUGGUCACACUGGGUAAGAGUACCCAUAAACAUUCUAGUUCCACAUAUUAACAGUCUCCCUUGAAAAGAAAGAGAGAGAGACUACAUAUAUCCAUAUUUUAAGAUCUAAAAGCUAAUGUUUUGAGAGAGAGAGAGAGAGAGGGAGGCUGGUUAGGUUGGUACAUAUUAAUCUGCUAAUAUGAGAUAUGGACCAGUUGCUACUGAGCCCGCUAAGAGUUGGGCUUAUGUUUACCUCUUAAGCCUGUCCUGCAAAUCCAUGAGAAGGCACUAACGGAAAAAGCUAGGCCUAGUUUCCCUUUUGUUCUAAUNNNAGUUAACAUGUCUCAUCUGCUGUUAGACAAAGUAGUACGAUUGAAUGCAGUAAUGUGAUGAGAAGUAAAAUGAGAGCAACAAUCUGCAUAGUAAAGAAAUGGACUUCCGAAGCUUCGUAUUCAAGCAUCAAGAAUUCAGACUUCAAAUGCUAAGCAAAGCUAAUGGGUACCUUUUUUUUCUUUUCCUUCCUUUUUCGUUGUCAAUCUUUAUCAAUGUCAUUGCACCACUAUAUGGGUCAGAAAGCUAUGAAACUUUCAAUAUUUUGACAUUUGCUAUAGUCCUUCCCUAACUAACAACCCUUUUUAAUCAAGAUUUACUUGCCUAUUAAGGUAGAAUGAUUUCUUAUACACAAUCCUCUAGGCCUAUAAUCAAGACAAUAUAUAAUUUGUUUCUACAUCAUUAGUAUCCACAUAAUGAUACUAUCUUUUUAUACUAGACCUUAAUUCUCUUUCUAAUAAAAUAAAAUACUAGAAAGAAUUCAUACUCUUGACUUCUUAAAUCAUUUGCUUGGCCAAUGAAAUCACACAUUCUAAUAAAAUUAUGUGAUCUCAUAAUGGAAUUAUAUUAAAAUCUUAGAAAGUCAAGAAACUUAUUUUGUAAUCCUAAUCUUAGUUAGUAAAGUGGAACCCUUCAUUACAAGGUAAGCACUCAACUACUAUAUCAUAACAAAUUAUUUAAUUCUUUUUUUCAACAAAAGAAAAAAGAAAAGAAAGAAAAGAUAAUGUUAAUACUAUGGCCGAGAUGUUAUAAUUAAGCUAAAAAAGAAAUUAUACAUAUUUUGUAUCCUGAAAUUACCAUCAAGUUUUCAAUUUACAUGGUUAUAAAUAAACCAUAGGAAGAUGUGGUUAAAACACGAAAAAGAACACACAAAAAAGAAGAAUUUACUAAAAUGGGGACUUAUCAGUACAAUUCUUCCUCUUUGGGGUGUAGUGGUUCUGCCGGCAGCGACAAAAGCAGUGGUGAGAGAAGCCGUAACAAAGAGAUUCUUAUAGAGGCUUUUCUAUCUCUUUUGUACUUAUUAAGGUUUUCUGCCUUAUUAAUACACAAGCUUCUAUCUUUUUUAAAAGGAAAAAC